CAAACCAAAGCUGGCGACCGGCGCACGGGUGAGUAACACGUAUCCAACCUGCCUCAUACUCGGGGAUAGCCUUUCGGAAGAAAGAUUAAUACCCGAUGGUAUAAUAAAACCGCAUGGUUUAAUUAUUAAAGAAUUUCGGUUAUCGAUGGGGAUGCGUUCCAUUAGGCAGUUGGUGAGGUAACGGCUCACCAAACCUUCGAUGGAUAGGGGUUCUGAGAGGAAGGUCCCCCACAUUGGAACUGAGACACGGUCCAA
rnacentral:rRNA from 1 species